AGACGAACAACCAAGAAUGAAUGAUGUGUACAAAGAGACCUGCAGUGGAAGAUAUUACGGAAAAUGAACUUUUUAAUAGCUUUUAUGCAAAUAGUUGGAACUUUGGAGUGUCUGCCCACCCACCAUGUGUGAAAUUAUACAACCAAGUCAAUCCUUUGUCAUUUGCUUAUCUUUAAAAAAAGAAAAAUCUGAAUUGUACGAAUUUGGUCGUCAGAAUUCCCCCAAUUUACAUAAUACACAGUUUGACCUGGCAGCUAGGCUGAAACACUAUGUCAAAGCCAAAUGGUAUGCAGAGCUAUAUUGAUGUGGAGUGCCAUAUGUAUUAUAUUAUAUUGUAUAUUCUUCCCCCCCCUUUUUUUGUUUUGUUUUUUUGUCCUGUUCGGCUGUUAGGUCAAGCAGAAUGGAAAAUCUGUAUCCCUUUUAUACCGGAACAGUUUUACUGUGUCACAGUGCAGUUUUUAAGCUUUGUGGUAUUAUAAUUGAGGUUUAUUGAGAAUCAGACUUGAUCAGUCGAACAGAACUAAGUUUCUAGAAGGGAGAGAGAAACAAAGACAAAAGACAAAGCACUAAUUCUGAACAGGAUGAGAGAAGUAAAUCAUUACAUUAUCUACAACAAUGAAACAUUAAAUAUGAGUGUUGCAUGGGGCUGUAGUGCGACACCCUGUGAGGGAAGGACAGGACAAGAUAGAACAGGACAAGGACAGGAGAAGAAGCAUGCAGGACAAGGGUCGUGAACCCGGCUGUACAACUUAAGUGUGGUGACAUUAAUUAUGUAAAUUAUAAAAGUCUACAGGACGAGAGUAUAAGUUAGGGGAUACACAAGCGAUUUGCAUAUUCAUGACUUAUUUGUUGCAGUAAGUGCGUGACCCCACACCCAGUGAAAGAGUCUUUGGGGUGUGUGCCUGCGGAUACAUGCAAGUGAAUUGACGCUGUUUUACAUGCACAAAGACUGACAGAAGUGUCUUGUAAUUGCUGUGGCCGUAGCGCGGCGGCUGAGGACCCCACCCGAUCAAUCGAGGGGCGGGAUAAGGCCCAGGGGUCCACCCGAGAGCAGCCCGGCGGACUAUACACGUCCCACACCGAGGCACGCCGACAACCGGCCACCCAGCGGGGGCCCCAUGGACCCAAUGCCACCCACUGCCCCACACGCCCCCAGAGCCAGACGAGGAGAGUGUCCCUUGUUUGUUGGAAUAACGAUAAGGGUGGGGGGGGACCAAGGAGCAGCCGCGGGCCAUGAGAGGUCAGCCCCAACACCAAGCAGUCAUCCAGCCCGGGGGGCCCGCCUCAGGAGCACCCGCCUCAGGAGCACCGCCCUGCAAGUAGCUACGGUCAGCAGACAUGGAGAGGUCUUCUUCCCAUUUGGUGAUUGGAUGGGUACCUACCAGCCGGAACCGGUACCGUGACCGUCUGCCUCUUCUUGGUCUGACCCGAACCUCGGCACAGAGCGCAGGGCGUGAUUAUGAUGGAGCCCUUGCCGCCACAGCGUCGACAUCCG